GGGAGUUGCUCAGUUUGUAUAGCGCAACUCUGCCAAAGUUGAGGGUGAGAGUUCGAGACUCUUCUCCCCCC
rnacentral:tRNA from 1 species